UGGGGAAUAUUGCACAAUGGGCGAAAGCCUGAUGCAGCGACGCCGCGUGAGGGAUGACGGCCUUCGGGUUGUAAACCUCUUUCAGUAGGGACGAAGCGCAAGUGACGGUACCUGCAGAAGAAGCACCGGCUAACUACGUGCCAGCAGCCGCGGUAAUACGUAGGGUGCGAGCGUUGUCCGGAAUUACUGGGCGUAAAGAGCUCGUAGGCGGUUUGUCACGUCGUCUGUGAAAUCCUAGGGCUUAACCCUGGACGUGCAGGCGAUACGGGCUGACUUGAGUACUAUAGGGGAGACUGGAAUUUCUGGUGUAGCGGUGGAAUGCACAGAUAUCAGGAAGAACACCGAUGGCGAAGGCAGGUCUCUGGGUAGUAACUGACGCUGAGGAGCGAAAGCAUGGGUAGCGAACAGG
rnacentral:rRNA from 1 species